rnacentral:pre_miRNA from 10 species
CUUGUGACGGUUGUUGGUAAAGAGGAUCGAACCUGAAAAAUGAUGGUUUGGUCCCCUUCAACCAGCUACCGAUGCAACGCA